UACGUAGGGGGCAAGCGUUGUCCGGAUUUAUUGGGCGUAAAGAGCUCGUAGGCGGUUGGGCAAGUCACGUGUGAAAUCUCCACGCUCAACGUGGAGGCGCCACGUGAGACUGCCCUGACUCGAGUCCGGUAGGGGAGCGUGGAAUUCCCGGUGUAGCGGUGAAAUGCGCAGAGAUCGGGAGGAACACCGGUGGCGAAGGCGGUUCUCUGGGCCUGUACUGACACUGAGGCGCGAAAGCGUGGGGAGCGAACAGG
rnacentral:rRNA from 1 species